rnacentral:rRNA from 1 species
ACGAGGGGUUCAAGCGUUGCUCGGAAUUAUUGGGCGUAAAGGGUAGGUAGGUGGUCUCAUUUGUCUGGGGUGAAAGCCUUGAGCUUAACUCGAGAAGUGCCUCAGAAACGGUGAGACUAGAGUUCUGGAGAGGGUCGUGGAAUUCCCGGUGUAGCGGUGAAAUGCGUAGAGAUCGGGAGGAACACCAGAGGCGAAGGCGGCGACCUGGACAGAUACUGACACUCAACUACGAAAGCGUGGGGAGCAAACAGGA